UCUACUGAAAAUACUAAGGAAAUUGAAUGUGAUCAAGUAGCGCACUCCAUAACAUUGCAAAACCCAAAGUUGCAAAAAGCACAGAAUAAGACCAGUCCUUUUC